rnacentral:rRNA from 1 species
UACGAAGGGGGCUAGCGUUGUUCGGAUUUACUGGGCGUAAAGCGCACGUAGGCGGAUUGUUAAGUCAGGGGUGAAAUCCUGGAGCUCAACUCCAGAACUGCCUUUGAUACUGGCAAUCUAGAGUCCGGAAGAGGUGAGUGGAACUCCUAGUGUAGAGGUGGAAUUCGUAGAUAUUAGGAAGAACACCAGUGGCGAAGGCGGCUCACUGGUCCGGUACUGACGCUCAUGUGCGAAAGCGUGGGGAGCAAACAGG